ACGGUAUGGGAUCGAUCGUUUGGAAAUAAAUUUCCCUUUAUCUCUACCGUGAGUGGCGUGAAUGUUAUGCCGGAUCAUUUUGUUGACAUAAUAACCGUUCAUUGACAUUACCGUUCAAAAAUCAUUAUAACAUUUCUUAAUAAUAUUAUGGUACAUAUAAUUGCCUGUGGUAAUUUCUUUCAAAAAAUAUGGUCAAAGACUGUCCAUUGACUAGUACGACCCGCUUUAACAUCCUUAAAUUUCGUGGUUAGUUUUUCAGUCUGGAGACCGUUUUAAAAAUAGCGAAUGAAGAAAAUUUAUGAAAUAAAGGGACGAUAAAUGAUAUGCGUGCGUGUGUGUAAAUGUGGCAAUCGUGUUUCUCCAAGCCUGUUCUCGAAAAUUAAAUAUUUAAAAUUCAAUAAAAGAGUAAUAACCUAUUUCCCCAAUUGUUGAUAAUUUCAUACAUUUUACGACGUUCAAUUAUGUUUUUAGAGUACGAGGCACUAAGGAAUCUACCGAAUUUAUUCCGGCACCGAAUAAUCAUUCAACAAAUAGAUAUCCUUAUCAAUUUCCUGAAUAAAACAAACAAAACCGCAAACACAUGCUGUACAUGCAUGUGGGAUUAGCAGCUACAGCAGUCGACAAAUGAUAAACCGAUCAAUCAACAAUAAACCUACAUUUUAUACUAAUAUAUUUUAACGUUUUCCAAGCAAGCUAUCGAUCAGAUAAAAUGAACUGCCGGACUGAACGAUUGCUACAAAAGAUUAAUGGCCAUUUUCUCCGACGCGGUUCAAACUCAGUUCAAUUUUUUUUAUAUAGUUUCGAGAUAGGAUGAAUCGAGUUUAAACUCAGAUUAACACUGGAGAAAACGGGCAUAAAAGUUUUAUCCCUUUUCACCAGCCAAGAUGCUAAGGAUUGAUUAAAAUCAGAUAUAAGGAACGAAAAUGUAGGCGAAAAAUACUGGAGCAAAAUGCAGGAUUACGAGCCAGCAUGCCUGCGUUUCACUCAUCAGCUGGUCUACGAUUACGUGAAAAAAGUUUACUAUUUGUUCGGAGACAGCAUCGAGACUCUCUAGUAUCUUCAAAAUGAAGUUUCCGAUAUCAUCGAUCACGAUGACGGGCAACAAACCAAAGAGGUUUUUUUAUUUAUUGAUUUCAACUACUGGCAUCCGUUAUAUUCCGGGAACAGGAGUCAGCCCGAAACAUCGAUUUAUCGUCGUCUUCGAGCACCGAGGAUUCCGAAACAUUUGAAAAAAACGCAAGAAAACUUCACGUCCGUCGAGCCGAAUUGUAUGAUAAGUUGACGAAAUUUUUUUCCGAAUUGCUCACGCAGCCUCAAGAUAAUUUAAUUGCUUUAUUGCCAUUAUGAUGAACGAGUGAAACCGGUGAGAUUUUUUAUGAGCCAUUUUCUCGCUUCUCUGCCUUCACUUUCAAAGAAAUAUAAAUCUCAAGUACAAAAUAAAAUGAAAAAGACAGAAAUUCCUGCACAUAAGAGAAGCAAAAUUGUAAGGGCACGAGAGCUUUUUUCGUCCAAAGCAACCUUGCUUUACAUGAUUUUAAGCGAAAAAAAAAGAAAAACAGUAUAAAUAUUUGAUAAUUCAACAAUCCAAAAUCAACUGGUUAUCGCAAUAUUUGUUUCAAUCAUUUACUAAUAUCUUUCGUUGUACUUGAAGAAGAAACUAAAAAAUUUGAAUUCGAGUCAAAAAAAUUCUCAUUUCUUUUCGCUGGGCUACUCGUUUUUUUUUUUUAAUUUUGUAAAGACGAAAAAUUAUUGGAAUACAUUUAUAUUUUGGACUUAUCAUUCAAAAAAAAAUUUUUUUCUAAAUAGGGUAGUCAACAACUCAUUGUCAAUCGCCAAUCGAAUUUGGAGUAGAGGAAAUUAGCGAGCGGUUCAAAAGAAGCAGUCACUGCGUGGCUCAAGAAUGUCCAAAUUUGUUGCGUAAAGAUCUUCUGGAGUUGUUCCCUGGCUGUGUCGAAGUGGCCUCACCGCAGUUUACCAUUAUAACUGUUAGUCAAAAAUUAAGUGAUCAAAGUCACCCGUGGAGCAAGGAAAUGGAAACUGAGAAGCUGGCUAUAUCCCUAUGUUUUACACCGUUCCAAGAGCUAUAGCAACAACCGAGCGAGGUUCGUUCGGGGCUGGUUUUAACAGCGGCUAUUACAUCCGAUCAAGAAACUGAAGAACGUCGGUUGGAAGCUGGUGCUAUGGUUUUUAUGACUGCUGUAACUGCCAACCAUUGAAUUACGAAGAUGCACAAUCCGAGGUUCAGCCUCCACCCUUCUACAAGGACGUUUCAUCGUAAAUCAAGCUGAUCUGGAUAACACGAGCUGGCGUCAAUCCAAAUUGGGAACUCAUAUCACCAAAAGGAUUUAUAGUUUAUACUACCGCUCAAAAGUUUGGGGACGCACGUUGAAAUUUCUUGACGUACCAAAUGUUAAAUUGUUUAAUCGAAAAAAGAGAUAACGGAAUUUUGCGAACGGCAUUUUAAAGGAGACACAUGCAGCUUCAAUUUGCGCCUUAAUAAAAUCUUUUUCAAUUUUUUUUCGGUUCGGUA